UACGUAGGGGCCUAGCGUUGUCCGGAUUUAUUGGGCGUAAAGAGCUCGUAGGCGGUUUGGUGAGUCGGGGUGUGAAAUCUCCACGCUCAACGUGGAGGGCACCGAUCACCUGCCACUACUAGAGUCCGGUAGGGGGAGUGUGGAAUUCCCGGUGUAGCGGUGAAAUGCGCAGAUAUCAGGAGGAACACCAGCGGCGAAGGCGGCGCUCUGGGCCGGAACUGACGCUGAGGAGCGAAAGCGUGGGGAGCAAACAGG
rnacentral:rRNA from 1 species